rnacentral:misc_RNA from 1 species
GAUGAAGAACGCAGCGAAAUGCGAUACUUGGUGUGAAUUGCAGAAUCCCGCGAAUCAUCGAAUUUUUGAACGCAAGUUGCGCCCGAAGCCAUUCGGCCGAGGGCACGUCUGCCUGGGUGUCACGCAUCGUUGCCCCCCCAAACUCCGGUUCGGGCGGGGCGGAAGUUGGCCUCCCGUGCGUGCCUGCGCGCGCGGUUAGCCCAAAAGCGAGUCCUCGGCGAUGAGCGCCACGACAAUCGGUGGUUUUUUUACCCUCGUUCCUCGUCGUGCGUGCCCCGUCGCCCGAACGCGCUCUUGCAACCCUUACGCGUCGCCUCGGUGGCGCUCCCAACGCGACCCCAGGUCAGGCGGGACUACCCGCUGAGUUUAAGCAUAUCAAUAGGCGGAGGA